AAGUCGGACGGGAUUUUCCGUUGUAGCAAUACGAUGGAAAGUCUAGUGGCGAACGGGUGCUUAACACGUGGGCAACCUGCCAUGAAGUGGGUGAUAGCUCGCCGAAAGGCGAAUUAAUACCGCAUGUGAUUAGAGAGGACAUCCUUUCGAAAUUAAAGUCGGGGCAACCUGACGCUUCUUGUGGGACCCGCGGCCUAUCAACUUGUUGGUGAGGUAACGGCUCACCAAGGCUAUGACGGGUAGCUGGUCUGAGAGGACGACCAGCCACACUGGGACUGAGACACGGCCCAGACACCUACGGGUGGCAGCAGUCGAGAAUUUUUGACAAUGGGGGAAACCCUGAUCGAGCGACGCCACGUGGAGGAUGAAGGUCUUCGGAUUGUAAACUCCUGUCAUUGGGGAACAAUGCCCCGGUAUUAACUGUAUCGGGGUUGAUAGUACCCGAAGAGGAAGAGACGGCUAACUCUGUGCCAGCAGCCGCGGUAAUACAGAGGUCUCAAGCGUUGUUCGGAUUCAUUGGGCGUAAAGGGUGCGUAGGCGGCGCGGUAAGUCGGGUGUGAAAUCUCGGAGCUUAACUCCGAAACUGCAUUCGAUACUGCCGUGCUUGAGGACUGGAGAGGAGACUGGAAUGUACGGUGUAGCGGUGAAAUGCGUAGAUAUCGUAAGGAAGACCAGUGGCGAAGGCGGGUCUCUGGACAGUUCCUGACGCUGAGGCACGAAGGCCAGGGGAGCAAACGGGAUUAGAUACCCCGGUAGUCCUGGCAGUAAACGGUGCACGUUUGGUGUGGGAGGAUUCGACCCCUUCUGCGCCGGAGCUAACGCGUUAAACGUGCCGCCUGGGGAGUACGGUC
rnacentral:rRNA from 1 species